CGCGGGGAUAGGCCGGCCAGCCGACAAGCGAGACAAGCCCACUCGCUUCCCCGCGCUCCACAGGG
rnacentral:sRNA from 1 species